GCCUGGGUGGCUCAGCCGGUUAAGCAUCUGACUUCGGCUCAGGUCACAAUCUCGUGGUUUGUGGGUUCGAGCCCCACGUUGGGCU
rnacentral:tRNA from 1 species